AAUGAAGAGGAGCCUUACAACUGGUGCAAAGCUGCAGGCUCCUCAGCAAGACUGUGCUACUUACGCUCUCCUAUGACAUCCAACAGACUGCGUUUCAUUUGCUCAGGGUUGUCUGAAGAAGGUGACAUAUUUAACCCAAGCAACAUUAACACUACCACUGUGCUUUGGCUUUAAAAGACAGAGCUACUACAGUUACCUGGACAUGCUGGAGACCCAACCCACUCUUCAGGCAGCCUGUUUGC